rnacentral:lncRNA from 1 species
AUGGUGGCUGCGAGGGGUGUUUCUGAGCGUGCUGCUUGGACGCGGCUCUUGGUGCCUCCACGUGGGCCUCUCUUGGCGUCUGCACGCGGCCUGGGGGCAAUGUCCGGCCCUGAGGGGCAGGUGGAGAGAAGUCUGCAGUGGGGAAUAUGGCGGAGUGGGUGUCCCUGUGUAACCCCUCUAGGCUCCCCGGUCAUCCUUUUAGUUACAGACUGCCCCAAAGCAGACCAACAGACACAGAGUUUCCUUCCUGCUUUGUGGGUGUGGGGACAGGUGCUGCUGGUCCACAGCUGCUGCUGGUCCACAGCUGCUGCUAGAUGGCUGUUUUCCUGGUACGGUGCUGUGGCUCUGUCUCUGCUUCCUCUUGGCAGAACUUUAUGCUCAGGCAUGCUGUUUGCUUCUGAGAAGUGGGGCGAGGAGUAUGGACGCUCUUUGAUUGAAGAUGAGGUGUGUCAGUGAUGGAGGAGAUUUGAUGCAUGCCUGUGGCUUUGUGGCCAGAAGCACUCCUGGAUUUAUCAGCAUAGAAGAGAUGAACCCAGGUAACCAGCCAGGUGGCUUCUUGAGAUGAUAAAUUGGAGGAAGAUCAGGAGGUAGCAACACCACAACCACUUCUCACCUGGUAAGUGCAUUUCAGAAGAUCAGUUGGUCCUGUUGCAAUCUUUGAAAGUGAGGUUUUAGUAGCAGGGUUGUGGAGCUAGGGUUUAAACUGAUGCUCCCCCCUGAUAUUCAAAAGGCAGAAAACGGUAGAAUUAUAUGUAAAUAAGAAGCCACUCUGGCUUGGAUGUGUCAGGUUCUGAGCCUGGCUGAAAGAGUGCCAGUUCCUGAAUUUGAAUUGAGCAGAAGUUCUGUGCUUGGAGAGGAGAGUGUUUCUAGAUGUGCACAGGCAGCUGAG